AAGUGGUUAACUUGUUCUUCU
ensembl:piRNA 21ur-1165 ncRNA